rnacentral:rRNA from 1 species
GACGAACGCUGGCGGCGCGCUUAACACAUGCAAGUCGAGCGAGAACCAGGCUUUCGGGCCUGGGGAAAGCGGCGAACGGGUGAGUAACACGUGGGUAAUCUGCCCUCGGCACCGGAAUAGCCCGGGGAAACCCGGAUUAAUGCCGGAUAGCCUCUCGAGCCCUCGGGCUCGUGAGAAAAGGUAGCUUCGGCCUCUGGCCGAGGAGGAGCCCGCGGCGGAUUAGCUUGUUGGUGGGGUAACGGCUCACCAAGGCGACGAUCCGUAGCUGGUCUGAGAGGACGAUCAGCCACACUGGGACUGAGACACGGCCCAGACUCCUACGGGAGGCAGCAGUGGGGAAUCUUGCGCAAUGGGCGAAAGCCUGACGCAGCGACGCCGCGUGCGGGAAGAAGGCCUUCGGGUUGUAAACCGCUUUCAGGAGGGACGAAGCCACUCGGGUUAAUAGCCCAGAGGGUGACGGUACUUCCAGAAGAAGCCCCGGCUAACUACGUGCCAGCCGCCGCGGUAAGAC